rnacentral:rRNA from 1 species
CAGCAGCCGCGGUAAUACGUAGGGUGCGAGCGUUAAUCGGAUUUACUGGGCGUAAAGCGUGCGCAGGCGGCCCGUUAAGACAGGUGUGAAAUCCCUGGGCUCAACCUAGGAAUUGCGCUUGUGACUGGCGGGCUCGAGUACGGUAGAGGGGGGUGGAAUUCCUGGUGUAGCAGUGAAAUGCGUAGAGAUCAGGAGGAACACCGAUGGCGAAGGCAGCCCCCUGGGCCUGUACUGACGCUCAUGCACGAAAGCGUGGGGAGCAAACAGGAUUAGAGACCCGGGUAGUCCACGCCCUAAACGAUGGGUACUAGCCGUUUGGUGCGCGAGAGCGCUGAGUGGCGAAGCUAACGCGUGAAGUACCCCGCCUGGGGAGUACGGCCGCAAGGUUGAAACUUAAAGGAAUUGGCGGG